GGUGUGGUGGCCUAGCGGCUAGCACACUCGCCCCGCACCUCAAGGGUCAAGGGUUCGAUUCCCAUCUCCACCC